rnacentral:lncRNA from 1 species
CAGAAUCACUCACAAAUUGAUAUCGGUUUUCUGUAAAACACAUUUAAUCUUUUUUAGGUUGUAAAGAAGAAUUAAGUGUUAAUUAUAUCACGAGGAGGUUAUAUGAUAAGGACUCCUUUAAUUUCACAUAUUGUAGGGACAAGACUAGUCUUCAUUGGGUGAACCAGGGUAAUUCUUUUUUGUGAUCUCUCUAGCUCAACUUUUAAUCUUCGUUACAUUCAAAUCACACUACACAUACACUUGAGUACUAAUUUUGAACAUUUAUUUUGCUAAGCAUUUACAUUCUCUACACAAGAAGGUUCUCUAACAAAUUAUUGUUUUCCAAGUGCAGGAUCAGAGAAACAUAAAUAAAAUUUUGAAAUAAAAUGAAAGUAAUGAAAAUCACAUAAAAUUGAAAGGUGUAAUUUUUAACUCACAAAAACCAUCAAGGCACUGCCAAACAAUAGGAAAUUUAUAGGUAACUUUUGGACAAUCACGGACAUCAUUGCAACGAUAUUUAGCUAAGAGUGUCAAAUAAGAAAAAAGGAAAGUUACUAAGAGGUUAUAUAAAAUAUUAAGAUAGAGUAGAAAAUUUAAAAAUUUUGUGAAAAAUGAAUACUUUUAUCAGAUUCAACAAGAAUCAGGGAAAGAAAAAUUAUCAAAGUAUAAACAAACAUGAGAAUUUGAGCCAUAUUUUGCAUCCUUUCCAGUUUCCAUUACAUAAAUAAAAUAGUUGUGAACGCUUUAUAAGUAAAAUUUUGCAUACUUUAUUGAUUUUAAUUAAACAGUUUUAAG